rnacentral:rRNA from 1 species
AAUGAACGCUGGCGGCAUGCCUAACACAUGCAAGUCGAACGAGACCUUCGGGUCUAGUGGCGCACGGGUGCGUAACGCGUGGGAAUCUGCCCUUGGGUUCGGAAUAACAGUUAGAAAUGACUGCUAAUACCGAAUGAUGUCGUAAGACCAAAGAUUCAUCGCCCAGGGAUGAGCCCGCGUAGGAUUAGCUAGUUGGUGUGGUAAAAGCGCACCAAGGCGACGAUCCUAGCUGGUCUGAGAGGAUGAUCAGCCACACUGGGACUGAGACACGGCCCAGACUCCUACGGGAGGCAGCAGUGGGGAAUAUUGGACAAUGGGCGAAAGCCUGAUCCAGCAAUGCCGCGUGAGUGAUGAAGGCCUUAGGGUUGUAAAGCUCUUUUACCCGGGUAUGAUAAUGACAGUACCGGGAGAAUAAGCUCCGGCUAACUCCGUGCCAGCAGCCGCCGUAA